rnacentral:rRNA from 1 species
AUACGGAGGGAGCAAGCGUUAUUCGGAAUCACUGGGCGUAAAGGACGCGUAGGCGGGUUUGUAAGUCAGGUGUGAAAUCCUACAGCUCAACUGUAGAACUGCACUUGAAACUACAGACCUAGAGUAUGUAAGGGGCAGAUGGAGUUAGUGGUGUAGGGGUAAAAUCCGUAGAUAUCACUAGGAAUACCGAAAGCGAAGGCGAUCUGCUGGGACAUUACUGACGCUGAGGCGUGAAAGCGUGGGGAGCAAACAGAAUUAGAAACCCCAGUAGUCC